rnacentral:tRNA from 1 species
GCUCCUGUCGUCUAGCCUGGCCCAGGACGUCGCCCUCUCACGGCGAAAACUCGGGUUCGAAUCCCGACAGGAGCG